GCCAAUUAUCUGAAGCUAGGACUAAUUCACUACCACAGAGGGCUGAACCUCAGAAGCAAACACCUGACUCUCCCUAGGGUCUGUGUGCUGAGAUGAUGGCUCCACAAUGAUGCCUUGGACAAUUUCAAGGACUUUUGAUUUGGACCCCACCACUCACCUUACACUGAAUCUGGCUCCCAGUGUCAGCUUUGCCUGAUUUCUGGCUCAUACACCAGUUAGUUUCAUAUGUUGUCAAAGCUGACAGAUGAAGAUGAGAGCUAUUUAUUGGGCACUUAUGGUGUGCGAGGCAUUGUGGUUGCUGCCAAGAAGACAGGACUAAAUGGAUUAUAGACGUGAUGCUGCUCUCUUGGAACCUGGAGUCCCAGACAACAGUGAUUAAGAGGGUUAAAGAUCUUGCUUGCUUGACUGGUUUUUCCAAACUCCCAGAGCUCCCUGCAAGGCAGCCAAUAUGGCAUUAUUGUCAUUUGGGGAACAGUAAACCUUUGAAAAAUGCCUUUUGCGUUCUGGAUUUAUGGAAACCGUUUGA